AACGAACGCUGGCGGCAUGCCUAACACAUGCAAGUCGAACGAGACCUUCGGGUCUAGUGGCGCACGGGUGCGUAACGCGUGGGAACCUGCCCUUAGGUUCGGAAUAACUCCCCGAAAGGGGUGCUAAUACCGGAUAAUGUCUUCGGACCAAAGAUUUAUCGCCUUUGGAUGGGCCCGCGUUGGAUUAGCUAGUUGGUAGGGUAAAAGCCUACCAAGGCGACGAUCCAUAGCUGGUCUGAGAGGAUGAUCAGCCACACUGGGACUGAGACACGGCCCAGAAUCCUACGGGAGGGAGCAGUAGGGAAUAUUGGACAAUGGGCGAAAGCCUGAUCCAGCAAUGCCGCGUGAGUGAUGAAGGCCUUAGGGUUGUAAAGCUCUUUUACCCGGGAUGAUAAUGACAGUACCGGGAGAAUAAGCUCCGGCUAACUCCGUG
rnacentral:rRNA from 1 species